AAAUUGAAGAGUUUGAUCAUGGCUCAGAUUGAACGCUGGCGGCAGGCCUAACACAUGCAAGUCGAACGGUAACAGGAAGCAGCUUGCUGCUUCGCUGACGAGUGGCGGACGGGUGAGUAAUGUCUGGGAAACUGCCUGAUGGAGGGGGAUAACUACUGGAAACGGUGGCUAAUACCGCAUAACGUCGCAAGACCAAAGAGGGGGACCUUCGGGCCUCUUGCCAUCAGAUGUGCCCAGAUGGGAUUAGCUUGUUGGUGAGGUAACGGCUCACCAAGGCGACGAUCCCUAGCUGGUCUGAGAGGAUGACCAGCCACACUGGAACUGAGACACGGUCCAGACUCCUACGGGAGGCAGCAGUGGGGAAUAUUGCACAAUGGGCGCAAGCCUGAUGCAGCCAUGCCGCGUGUAUGAAGAAGGCCUUCGGGUUGUAAAGUACUUUCAGCGGGGAGGAAGGUGUUGCGGUUAAUAACCGCAGCAAU
rnacentral:rRNA from 1 species